AAAUGUUUUGUUUUUUAUUAUUGUGCCCGACAAGAUGUUGAAUCUCGCUCCUACGUAUUCCCAGGUGCAAUGGGAAAAUCAGGGUUUCGUAGUUCAGGGUAAAAAAUGUUUGUGGGUUGGUUGCUUUUAGACGCAUGACGUCUAAGUCGCAUUCUCGCAUUAAACGCUGCUUGUAUGCUCGCACUUCGGAGGCUUAAGCGUGGUUUGUAUUACGGAGAAUGGACGAAAACGUCACCCAUUUUGUGAAAAGGGUUUUCUUUUUACUGCGCGCGAGGGCAGUGAAAA
rnacentral:lncRNA from 1 species